rnacentral:rRNA from 1 species
CCUACGGGAGGCAGCAGUGAGGAAUAUUGCCCAAUGGGGGAAACCCUGAGGCAGCACGCCGCGUGGAGGAAGAAGGUCUUUACGAUCGUAAACUUCUUUUGUGAGGGAAGAGGAAGGACGGUACCUCAUGAAUAAGUCACGGCUAACUACGUGCCAGCAGCCGCGGUAAUACGUAGGUGACGAGCGUUAUCCGGAAUUACUGGGCGUAAAGCGUACGCAGGCGGCAUGGUAAGUCUGACGUGAAAUCUCCUGGCUUAACUGGGAGAGGUCGUUGGAGACUGCUGUGCUUGAGACAAUGAGAGGGGUGCAGAAUUCCCGGUGUAGUGGUGGAAUGCGUAGAUAUCGGGAGGAAUACCAGAGGCGAAAGCGGCACCCUGGCAUUGGUCUGACGCUCAUGUACGAAAGCGUGGGUAGCAAACGGGAUUAGAUACCCCGGUAGUCCACGCCGUAAACGAUGAGUACUAGGUGUGGGUGGAGUCAAAUCCAUCUGUGCCGUAGCAAACGCGUUAAGUACUCCGCCUGGGAAGUACGGCCGCAAGGCUAAAACUCAAAUGAAUUGACGG